rnacentral:rRNA from 1 species
AUUGAACGCUGGCGGCAUGCUUUACACAUGCAAGUCGAAGGGUAACAGGGUGCUUGCACCGCUGACGAGUGGCGAACGGGUGAGUAAUGCGUCGGAACGUGCCGAGUAGUGGGGGAUAACGCAGCGAAAGUUGUGCUAACACCGCAUACGUACUGAGGUAGAAAGUGGGGGACCUUCGGGCCUCACGCUAUUCGAGCGGCCGACGUCUGAUUAGCUAGUAGGUGAGGUAAAGGCUCACCUAGGCGACGAUCAGUAGCGGGUCUGAGAGGAUGAUCCGCCACACUGGGACUGAGACACGGCCCAGACUCCUACGGGAGGCAGCAGUGGGGAAUUUUGGACAAUGGGCGAAAGCCUGAUCCAGCCAUGCCGCGUGUCUGAAGGAGGCCUUCGGGUUGUAAAGGACUUUUGUCAGGGAGGAAAUCCCUAGUGCUAAUAACACUGGGGGAUGACAGUACCUGAAGAAUAAGCACCGGCUAACUACGUGCCAGCAGCCGCCGUAA